UGGCAUAUGAUUCAGGAAUGGCAAUGGUGAAGUUCAGUAUUGCUUCGUGAUAGAAGUAGAUUAGAACAAUCCAUUUCACUAUGUUCUGCACAUCACGAAAACAAGUCUUUUUUCCUAAAAUUCCCAAGAAUCCUCUUACAACUUCCGUUGACAUAAAUUUCCCACCAUUUUACAAUAUUCAGCUCAUCAACAAACAAGCUUAUCUUCCUUAUUUGGAUAGGUCUUCCCAUGGACCAUUGGUCAUAAACAUUAUCGUAUGUGUAACACCCCGUCCCAAAAAUCACUAUUCAAUUAAUUAUUUAAUUGUGGAUUUACAAUUUUGCCUUUUGGGGUAGGGUCACUUUAGUCACUUUUUGAUCUAGAAGCAUUUUAAGGAUUUGAGUGGCACCAUAUUAUAGAGCUCGCUCUCACAAGUUCGUAGACAUGUAGUGGGCUCAAAACGGAGUUAUGACGAAGAAGUUGUGGUCAACAGAAGUGCAGUGGCACAACCGUAAAUUUCUUAGUCAGCCUCUCUCUUUCUACGCUCGCGACAGCAAAUUUCUUACGGUGAUUUCGUCACCGUCCAGUGUCCGAUCAAGCGAAAUUGGUUGCAAAAGUUUUUGUAUCGAUGUUCUCUAUCUAACCCAU
rnacentral:lncRNA from 1 species